rnacentral:tRNA from 1 species
GCCCGUCUAGCUCAGUCGCUGGCCUUUUAAGCCAGUGGUCGUGGGGUCGAGCCCCACGGGGGGCG